AAUAUGUUAGUGGCACUAUAUAACUAGCAUAAAGUAUUCAUACAUCCUUUGUUAUCUUCCACCAUCCAAUUCAAGAUGGAAAAAAACUUUUUCAUACUUUUUGUGAUACUUCUGAGUUUCUCCUAUUUUCUCCAAGUCUUUGCUAUCCCUGCAACAAGAACAAAAAAUUUGAAUAGUGAAGAUGAAUCAGUUUUUGCUUCUUUGUAUAAGGACCAUGGUGAGAAAAUGAUGGUACAUAUGGAUGAAAGAUUGAUAGGAAGAAGGGUCAAUUUGGAACUCCAUGAUUAUGAAGGGCCUGGUGCAAAUAAAGAACAUAACCCAAAAUCCCCUGGGAAUGGUUGAUGUGCAAAUAUAUAUAGAUUUAAUUAGCUACAUCCUAAACUUUAGAAGGCAAAAUCUAAAAUGUGUGAUAUUGUUUUCUCUAAUUAGAAUCAAGUAUGUGUGGUAUUUUUGUUUCUAUGAUGUUCUUCUAUACAUAUAUAUUUUGAAUUGUAAUAUCAAAUAAGGUAGCAAAAGAGAAUUUUAAGUAAUAAAAAUAUUAGUGUUUUGGUUGUAAUUUAUAAAACUAAGAUUGAACGGGAACAACAAUAAAGAAGCACUUGGCACAA